rnacentral:lncRNA from 1 species
AAGAGGGACUCCAUUCGAGAUAAGGACUAAACAAAAACAAAACAGUGCAAAUGAGAUUAGUACUCAACAAAACACGAAUAAAAACAUUCGAAUUCAACAUCCUAGAAAAAGGAAAUUCUGUUCAGAGAUACAAAAAAAAAUACCAAAAUGCAAAGACAACCAAAAUGCAAAGACAACCAAAACAGGAUGAAUAAAAACUUCAAUGACCUAUCCAACUGCUGGCUGUAGGUACCGCUGAAAAUCUGCAAAGACAACCAAAAUGCAAAGAUUAGGCAAACAACUUCAAGGUUAAUUGAUUAAGAAAAUGAUUCAAGGGCAUUGUACCAAAAUGCAAAGAUUAAGCAUGCAAUUUCUAAAAUAAGAGGAUGAUAGCAUUAACAUUCUCAGUUAUUAUAAAGUGCCCUAAUGAUAAUAAAUUGGUACAUCAAAGAAAUAAUUCACUUUGCUAGUUAGCGUGUGGAAUAACCUCAAUUAGUCUUAAGUUAAGAUGCUCCCAUGAAAGAACAGAUACUACUAUACAGAAAUGUAGAACAGGCACCAACUAACAAGAAAUGAUCUAAAACCUAUAAUCUCAAUGUAAGGAAUCAAUAUAUACUUUAAUUAAAAAACCAACAAGCAAAUAACAAGAUUAAGCAAACCAAUUUACCAAAUGAGGUGUGAAAACAAAAACCAAUCACACCCUCUAUCUUUCUAUGUGCAAAAGAAGUAAGCAGAGCUUUUACAUAACAUUAUAAAUUAAUUUUUCAGGAAUGUAAGCCAGUCACAUUGGAGAACAUCUCCAUGAAUAAAAGAGAAGCCUCAAGCAGAGAGGUUUUACACUUGCUAUAUGCACAGAUAAAAUCCUGGAAACAAUUUUUGUUAAACAAUGUUACCAAGAAGAACUAAGUGCAGUAUUGGAUCUCCAGAAAGAGAUCAAACAAUCAGUUUUGAUUUUUAUAAAACAGAAAUAAGGAGAGAAAACAGACAAUAUAAGGUUAAAGGCUCAAGCAGAACCAAAUAAGAAUGUGAGCCAAUUACAUUGGAGCACAUCUCCAUCUCCAUAGAUACAAGAGACGUCUCAAGCAGAAUGGUUUUUCACUUGAUAUACGCACAGAUAAAAUCCUAGAAACAAUUUUUGUUAAAACAAAUGUUACCAAGAAGAACUAAGUGCGAUUUUCUUUUGACAGAGUAACAAAUGAUCAAUUUUUAUCUAUCAAAUUGAAAUAAAAAAUUUAGACACAAUACUUGCUAGAUAAAUUUGUAAGCCAGUUUUAUUGGAACACAUCUCCAUACAUGGAGGAGAAGGUUCAAGCAGAAAGGCUUUAUAGUUACUAUCCGCACACAUAAAAUCUUAGAAACUAUAAACCUUGUUCCCAAGAUGAUCUGUGUGCAGUUUGUUUUCCAGAAAGAUAUCAAAAGAUUAAUUUUCAGCUUUCACCAAAGAAAGCCAAUAAUAUAAACAAUCAGUUGAGGUAUUAAGAAAUAAAAGAAACAAUUUUAUGAUUAAUACAACCACUAUAUACACCGUGAAAAUAGCACAAUGCACAACAAACUAAGACACACAUGGAUAAUUAAAAAACAUACUGCACAAGACAAUUCUAGAGAAACAGAAAUGGGAGAACUUAUGACUUCAAGUUGAUUCAGUGGAAUCGGUACAACGUAUCUAACAUAGCAAAAUUAAUAAUAUGAUUAUUUGGAUUGUCAACAAUUGAAUCAUAAUAAUGGCCCUAAAAAUCGUAAACCACGUGUUCAGAAAAGCAUAUUAAUUCAACAUUCAGCAAUCAAUAAUCUAUAUAUAAAGUUAACAAACAUUAAUAAAAUGGUAAAAUUACCUUAUAUAUUGCUUGGAUACAUAAAUACUCUAACCCUGGCUCCCUGCACAAACAAAUCAACACCAAAACUUUCAGAAACAAUAAAACAGUUUGUGAAAAAGAAAAAAACAAACCAUUUAUAUGUCUUUAAAAAUUACCAUUGAUUUUGGUGGAAGGUUAGACUUGAACUUUGCACGAACAAUACCACUGUUACCAUGAGGCCUGGUAACCUUACCCCAAAUGCAGCGAUAGUGGCUACCAUCCUUCUUCACUUUAGCCUUGUAAAUGUAUGCCAAUUUCUUCCCAGCAUACCAUGCAACUUCUUCCUUGGUGUUUACCCCCUCGAUCUGAACAAGAGAGGUGUUUGGGUAUUGAUUAACCUUGGACCUAUAACAGCAUUACCAAUUUCUUAGCACAAAUAAUCCCCAGCAAACCAGACCAACAUCAAAACCAAAAUACACAAGCGGAGACCCAUUAUGCACCGACAGAGGAAAAAUUAUAUAUUUAUAUUUAGAGUGAAGAUCGAAUUUGGUCUCAUUUCAUUAUUUUCCGGCCGGUUAAUUUAACUCCAUACAAAAAAUAGUACCCAAAUCAGUAAUCAUAUAACAGGCGGACUGAUUGUCCCUACUGUGAUAAUGCAAAAUUUGUGAAGGACCAAAUUGAGUCUUUGCUCUUAAAUUUAUAUAUCAAAAACACAAAUUAGAUGCUGAAUGUACUUAAGAAAACUUUAAUAUCUAACAUGAACUAUAAAAUUCAAAGAACAGCAUAGUCCAGCUAAAACAACAUUCAACAUUUCUUAGCACAAAUAAAGUUCAGCUAAACAGAUCAAAAUCAAAAUCCAAUAAACAACAUAAGAAAAAAAUUAUAUAUAAUCUUAAACCCAAAUUAGAUUUAAUUAACCUAUAAAUACUGCAAAUAAAUCGAAAUGGAGAAGAAAAACAAGUACCUCUUGUAACCAAGAACGGUACCCCUGACAUAAAGCCUGAUUAAAAACACAAAAUCAAAAUAACAUGAUUAGUAAAACCGAAACAAUAAAAUCAAAAGUGUUGAAAGGUAUAGAUCGAAGGGACAGAAGAGAAACCUGAUACGUUCUCCUUGUCGUCCUUUAACCAUUUUGAUUGGUGUGAAGAUGAAGAAGCUGCCUCUGUCUCUGUUAGUCUUCG